GUACGGUAUGUGCUCUGCGGGGCCCAGGGUCACUGCUCUGCAAAACCUGCCAGGAUCCUGGAAUGCCUCCCACUGGGUCUAGCAAGACAUGGAACUGAUCCAUCUCCUGCCCUGCUUGGGUCUCUCCUGGAAGUGGCUGUGAAUGAUCUUUUCUUCAGGCCACGAUUAUGAGACUGAGCCAGACGAGGCUCAGCCUUUCAGCUGUUGCUGCAGCCAAAUCUGACUUCUCCCGUCUCGUUCCGUGCAGGUGUCGGUGUUCCUGGCAUUGCCGGUGUCCCUGGUGUUCCUGGUGUUCCUGGAGUUCCUGGUGUCCCUGGUGUCCCAGGGGUUCCUGGUGUGCCUGGGGUUCCUGGUGCUGUGCCCGGUGUUGGAGUGGGUGGCCCAGCAGCAGCGGCCGCAGCCAAGGCUGCAGCGAAAGCAGCGGCAAUCGGAGCAGGAGGCGUGCCCGGCGUUGGUGUGCCUGGCGUUGGUGUGCCCGGUGUUGGCAUUCCCGGAGUGGGUGUUCCUGGAGUGGGUGUGCCUGGUGUUGGUGUGCCUGGUCUGGUGCCUGGGGUCGGCGUUCCAGGUGAGAUGGUGCCCAAGGGAU
rnacentral:lncRNA from 1 species